AUGAAGAAAUGGCACGGUGGUUCUGUCAUACUAUGUUUGUUCCUAAUCUUGAUGUUAAGAUACGUGAUAUUGGAUAGCCCGCUUGCUGAAAGAUCUCUUCAGUAUGUCUUCCAACAAAAUAGCACGGCGCAGCUACACUGGUUAGAUGUUCCAAACCCACCUGCACUUCAGAAUCCACAGAACUUCUCUCAAGUGAUAUCAACUGAAUUGUUAGCUUCCAACCUUUCCAUAACAAGAAAUCUCUCUGAUAGAGAAAUACAGACGUUGCAUUCUUGGAAUCAUCUGAGGGACCUUGUAAAUAAUGCCCAUAUCCUACCAGAUGGAUUGGAUGCAAUCAAGGAAGCUGGAGUUGCAUGGAGGAAGCUAAAUGCAGCCCUUGAAUAUGAUGACUCAGUUGUUUCAUUCAAUGGUAGCACACAUCAUAAGGACAAAGAGAAGCAAUGCCCAUAUUCCAUUCGAAGAAUGAAUGUUACAAGGGUAGCUGAUAGAUUUGUCUUAAGAAUUCCUUGUGGGCUUAUUCAGGGCUCUUCGAUAACUAUUAUUGGUACUCCUGGUGGUCUUCUGGGUAAUUUUAAGAUAGACUUAACUGGAGCUGCAGUCCCUGGUGAACCAGACCCUCCAAUUGUGCUUCAUUACAAUGUCCGUCUUCUUGGUGAUAAACUUACAGAAGAUCCUGUGAUUGUCCAAAAUACAUGGACUAUAGCUGAUGAUUGGGGUUCUGAAGACCGUUGCCCAUCUUCUGAUUCGGAUGCUAAGGACAGUGCAAAAGUGGACGAUUUGGAAAAAUGUAGCAGCAUGGUGGGCAAAGCCCACAAACAGAUCUUGGUCUCAAAGUCACAUUCUAAUUUUUCAAGCAUGCAACCUACAAGGAAAAAGACUGCAGAACCUAAAAAAUAUUAUCCCUUCAAACAAGGAAAUCUUGCUAUAGCAAUUCUUCGUGUUGGAGCAGAGGGGAUCCAUAUGACUGUAGAUGGGAAACAUGUCACUUCCUUUGCAUUUCGAGAGGAUUUGGAGCCUGGGUUUGUUGGUGAAGUAAGGAUUGAAGGAGAUAUUAAAUUGCUGUCUGUGCUAGCAAGUGGCUUGCCUACAACAGAGGACUUUGAGCAUGUCACUGACUUGGAAAUAUUGAAGGCUCCACCUGUCCCUAAGGAUAAAUCCAUUGAUCUUUUUAUUGGGAUAUUCUCUACAGCAAAUAAUUUUAAACGCAGAAUGGCGGUUCGAAGAACCUGGAUGCAGUACGAUGCUGUCCGCUCAGGAAAAGUCGCUGUUCGGUUCUUUGUUGGCCUGCAUAAAAAUGAUGUGGUGAACAAGGAGCUCUGGAACGAAGCACGGACAUAUGGAGACAUCCAAUUGAUGCCAUUUGUUGAUUAUUACAGCUUGAUUCUUUGGAAGACCAUUGCCAUUUGCAUAUAUGGAACAAAUGUACUUUCAGCCAAGUAUGUUAUGAAAACCGACGAUGACGCUUUCGUUCGUGUAGAUGAGAUACUUUCGUCCCUACAUCAAGUAAAUAUCAGCCAUGGACUGCUGUAUGGUCGCGUCAAUUCUGAUUCUCAGCCUCACCGAGAUCCGUAUAGCAAGUGGUACAUAACUUCAGAGGAAUGGCCUGAAGAGAGUUAUCCCCCAUGGGCACAUGGACCAGGGUACAUUGUAUCUCAGGAUAUAGCAAAAGAAGUUUACAGGAAACACAAAAGAGGGGAGCUAAAGAUGUUCAAGCUGGAGGAUGUGGCGAUGGGAAUAUGGAUCAAUGAGAUGGAGAAGGAAGGCUUUGAUGUCACAUACCAGAACGACGGAAGGAUCUUGGUGGAAGGCUGUGAGGAUGGGUAUGUGGUUGCCCACUACCAGGAGCCAAGGCAGAUGAUGUGCCUCUGGGACAAAUUCCAGAAAACAAAGCGAGGAAACUGUUGCAACGAGUAA
rnacentral:rRNA from 1 species